GCCACCCUCUCUCUCUCUCUCUCUGUUUUUUUUUAACUUAUUAGUGUUUCUGCCUUACAAGUAUCAAUUCUGAUCAACAGCUUAGUUUGAUUCAAUGAUCUGAAAUGCUAUAUGAAAACCCUAAAGCAAAUAAAGCUGAACUCAGAGCCUCUCAAGUACUUGAAUAUUUUCCAAUUCGGCAUCGACCAAAGCCCCGAAAACUCAAAUCUUUUUUGCUACUCGCUAGUUCCUCCUUCCAUUGCGCACAAAUAGAAACAGAAUGUCAGCGGCAAGCGGCGGCUGCCGAAUUGAGGAGGGUCUCAAAGUGUAGAGCUCAUUGUAUUCGGUCAUUUCUACUGAUUACAGGGUUUCAGAAAUUUGGUUGGCUAAUUCAGGUACGUAUUUCAUAAAUUUAUGAAUAAUCAGGUUAUUACAGGUCUUGUUUAUUUUUUUCUUGGAAAACAGGUUUUGUGUGAUUAUUUUCAUCUCAAACAGCAUUCCUGGCUAUUAUGAGGCAUUCUGGAAGGAGAUGGAUGAUGUUAAACAAAUCUGGAAGAACAGAAAGCAAAUCUGGAAGAACAGAAAGGAACUCAAAUAGAUUAAUAAUCAUGUAUCGAUGAAUUACAUUCUUUCCUAGAAGUGUCAUAGCCAUUGUAAAUAAUUUAUGUAAACGUUUAUAAAUAAUGUAUGUAUCUCUACUAUUUUGGUGAA